GCCUUCUUAGCUCAGUGGUAGAGCGUGUCACUCGUAUGUCAUGACAAGGUCAGUCGUUCAAGUCGGCUAGGAGGCA